AAUGAAGUUGGAAGAAAGUUAGAAAUUUGGAGAAGGAUCUCAAGAGGACUUCGAGGGAACUCCCGGCGAAGCGUCUUAGAGCUAAUUUCUCAAACUUUGACUUUUGAUACUUGGUUUGGAAGUGGAAGUUCUGAGGCUUAAUUAGUGACCCCCAAAAAUAUUUUUUUUCCCACAAGGCUCGAGGCCAAAGAAAGCGUUUGUAUUGAGUGAUUAGUGCCU